rnacentral:tRNA from 1 species
AAGUAGUAUAAAUGGGCUUCUAACCUAUUUUAAAGAGAUGCAACUUCUCUUACUCUAUA